UACGGGGGGGGCAAGCGUUGUUCGGAAUUACUGGGCGUAAAGGGCGCGUAGGCGGCCAACUAAGUCGGACGUGAAAUCCCUCAGCUUAACUGGGGAACUGCGUCCGAUACUGGAUGGCUUGGAUUUGGGAGAGGGAUGCGGAAUUCCAGGUGUAGCGGUGAAAUGCGUAGAUAUCUGGAGGAACACCGGUGGCGAAGGCGGCAUCCUGGACCAAUAUUGACGCUGAGGAGCGAAAGCCAGGGGAGCAAACGGG
rnacentral:rRNA from 1 species